CCUUCGCAGGAUCAGAGUCAGCCCUCUUCUUCUAUCCAGAGGGGUCAGCCAUCAGGUCUUGAGCCGGGUCAUGUUUAUGCUUUGACUCGUGAGGAGGCACAGCGAGCUGGAGGAUCUGUUAUCCGAGAUCCGAGCUCGAGUGGAGCACGGUGACCUGCCGAUACUCGGAGAUUUUUGCUGUAUAUAAGUUUUGCAGACACAGGGAUCCUUUUGAUAUUACUGUUGAUUUUGGACUUUC